GUCACUUUGCCGGAGUGGUUAACGGGAUCGCCUGCUACCUAUAGUAGAUAAGCGGUUGGUCUUUGACCGCGAGUGUUCGAAUCGCUCAGGUGACG
rnacentral:tRNA from 1 species